GACAGAGGCCCCAAGCGUUAGGCGGAAUCACUGGGCUUAAAGCGUGUGUAGGCGGACGCCUAAGUGUCUUGUGAAAUCCCACGGCUCACCCGUGGAACUGCUGGGCAUACUGGGCGUCUUGGGCCAACUAGGGGCAGCCGGAACAAGCGGUGGAGCGGUGAAAUGCGUAGAUAUCGCUUGGAACGCCGAAGGUGAAAACAGGCUGCUGGGGUUGUGCCGACGCUGAGACACGAAAGCGUGGGGAGCAAACAGG
rnacentral:rRNA from 1 species